CGGGGGUAGAGCACUGUUUCGGCAAGGGGGUCAUCCCGACUUACCAACCCGAUGCAAACUGCGAAUACCGGAGAAUGUUAUCACGGGAGACACACGGCGGGUGCUAACGUCCGUCGUGAAGAGGGAAACAACCCAGACCGCCAGCUAAGGUCCCAAAGUCAUGGUUAAGUGGGAAACGAUGUGGGAAGGCCCAGACAGCCAGGAUGUUGGCUUAGAAGCAGCCAUCAUUUAAAGAAAGCGUAAUAGCUCACUGGUCGAGUCGGCCUGCGCGGAAGAUGUAACGGGGCUAAACCAUGCACCGAAGCUGCGGCAGCGACGCUGAUGCGUUGUUGGGUAGGGGAGCGUUCUGUAAGCCUGUGAAGGUGUGCUGUGAGGCAUGCUGGAGGUAUCAGAAGUGCGAAUGCUGACAUAAGUAACGAUAAAGCGGGUGAAAAGCCCGCUCGCCGGAAGACCAAGGGUUCCUGUCCAACGUUAAUCGGGGCAGGGUGAGUCGACCCCUAAGGCGAGGCCGAAAGGCGUAGUCGAUGGGAAACAGGUUAAUAUUCCUGUACUUGGUGUUACUG
rnacentral:rRNA from 1 species